rnacentral:lncRNA from 1 species
CUUCCCCUUAGGCUUUCUUCUUGGAAGAAAGAAGCUGGGCACACCCAGUGGAGAGCAGCAGCAUUGGGUUCCCGGGGAAGCUCCACUCCCAGGCAUAUCAACGCUGGUUGGUGGUUUUGAAAGGCUCCUUAAUGAUGUCAUGGGUUGUCCGUCCACUCACAUGAAGCCUGACCGGGAGGGGGGCUUUGCUGUGCUCCCCCUCCGUCUGCAGACACGGCUGUGGGGGGAUUCUCACCCACAGGCGAGAAGCACCCACAGGCAAGAAGUGCAGGGUGGCCUGUGGAUGCCUGAGAAGCACCCACAGGAGGCAUGACGGAACUGUACCACUUGAGAUGCUAUUUCUCCUAAGUGCUCUGGAGUGAGGGAAUUCCAUUUUGCACAGGUGGAAGAAUCUGGAAGUAGAUUCUUGAUAAACUGUGGCUCAGGAAGGCCAUGUUAUCAGCCAGGGUCACGAGUGUGGCGGCGUCCUUCAGCCAGAGCUGAGAGAGACUGGGUCAUGGGACUCAGUGACGGAAGAUUCUGGCAGGACCAUGUCCGCUCUGGACCAGAGAAGCCUCGCCAGCCACGGAAGGACUCCCAUGCACGGACUCCCACUGUAUCCCUCAUAAACAGACAACAUGUGAGUGCCUUUGCAGAAGAGGGUGUGUCUGAGAGCAGCCGGGUCAGCCAGGAGCUGUCGCCAGGAGACGCCCCCUCUCUGUCCCUUGCUGUCUGCUGAUCACCGCUGGAGGUGCUGCGUUCUGAGCUGGUUUGUCCCCCAGUAGUUUUUGUGUUUCACUUGGCAAGGAAAGGGGAGGAAGGAACCCUCUUCUGAGUCAUUUCACGGCUGGUGGUUUUUUCACAGAAAGACGUGUCUUUGUUGCUCUUGUUUAAACGUCGGCGUGCAGGUCCACACGGCACCUGCCCAUGGUUCCCUUGCCUCAUUCCUGAGCAUCUCAGGUAGAAGGUGACACAGCUGCAGGUGAGGAAGGCCUGUGGGAGAACUCGGAAGACCCCUACCCCGUGGCGUGUGGCAGUCUGUUGUCAUCGGUGCACAGCGGACGAUUUUCACAUCUAGCUCCUGGUUCCGUAACCUUGUGUACUUGAAGUCCAACAAGAUGAAGGAAGUCAGUUUCCUUGCAGUGAUUUUAAGUUGUGAUGGAGUUUUAAGUUGAUAUGAGGGAACGUGUCCUAAUUCUUCUGUCCUGGGAAGCAUGUAAUGUUAAUGUUCCAUUCCAUGUGUGUAUAUGUGUAUAUAUAUAUAAAUAUGCAGUAUGUAUAUACAUAUAUAUGAAUACAGGUAUUUUUACUUAAUCUAUAAAAUGUAGUAAAAAGAUGUUGGUUUCUCACUUCUCUUUUUUCUCUUUUUUUUCUUUUCCC